UGAGAGUUAUCAUAAAAAUGAUUUGAUUUUUAAAAUAUCCGUAAACUAGGUAAUAGAUCAUAUGAAUUACUAAACACAUCAAUCUAUGCGUACAAAUAUUUUGUGUUUGUUUUAAAAGCUUUCUUAUGUUUUUUUAUUAUUUUAUUUUUCUUAUUUAUUUAUAUAUAUACUAAUUUAGAAGUACAUGAUAAACAGUACUUCUUCAUGAUUGGUGGACUUUUUUUUCAUAAAUUUUGCCCAUUGGAAGUGUUGUUAAUAUUCGGUGCUACGUGUUAUUAUAUGCUCCCGCCUCCUAUUUCUUCCGAUUAAUCAUCUGCCAGAUCCUUACUACGUCUUCUUUCCCUUACUACGUCUUCUUACCCUUCUGUUUCCACAGGUGGGAACCGAUUCACUGAAUGAAGCGAAAAAAAUCCCUAAAACCACCCCACUGUCAUUAGAUCAUUUGCUUCUUUCUAUUCCCUAAAGGUUCGCAACCAAAAAAAGCUCUGCUAUCUUCUAUUUCGUUUGGCGACACCUCAAUCUCCCAUGAACAUGCUUCGAGCUCCGUCGUCUCAGGGAUGCUUCACCCGUUACCGUCUUUGUCAGAAGUUGCUCAGAAGUCAAAUACCCAUUCUAUUGUUCGCCGAUUGUCAUCGAUUUCUAUUCACGAUCUCAGGAACACAGCCUCCACUCCGGUGUAGCAAGGCAGCAACGACACAGACAAUUUUUGGUUUUACUGAUUACAGCGUCGGUUGUUCUUUCUGGUCGAUUUGUUUUUUUUGUCAAUUUUCUCCAAUCCAUCGUCCUUUCAUCUUCAUCUGUUGAAUUUUCCUCUAUUCACUUUAUCUCAUGUGGAGGAUGUGUUUGCUGAAGAAGAAUGGAGCGAUACGUGAUGUCUGCAAUAAGGAAUGAGCCGAUAAGUUCUGCAAAAAACGCCCAAAAUAUUUUCACUGAUCUGAACCACCGAACGUAGGUAAGGUCUCAAACCCUCUAACUUUUUAUUUUUAUGUCGAGCAAUCAGCAACUCAGAACAAUCGAUUUAUCGCCACUAAAUGUGACUGAUUUGUUUUGUAGAAAUCAAAAUCCAUAGACUCAUUCCAUUCACCAAAAAACCAACUUCACCACACCAUCUUCCUCCAAUUUUCAGUUCUCUUCUUUUUGACACCUAUGUCGGUGUUGCUUUUCUAAAAUUCUUCUGAU
rnacentral:lncRNA from 1 species